rnacentral:rRNA from 1 species
AUGUUCAUCCGCCCCCAGCGUUCGGAGUUGAGAACUGUCGCAGCAGCACUCGAUCUAUUUGGAGAGGCUUCAGGACUCCGGGUGAAUCUUCAGAAGAGCUCUGUUAUUCCAAUUCGAUGUGAGGUGGAGCAGGAGUUCUUGGCAGAUCUUCCAGGUACUCUGGGAAGUUUUCCUUGCACAUACCUUGGCCUCCCUCUUCGUACGGGAGCACUGACAAAGGAGGAUCUCCAUGGACUUGUGGAUUCUGUGGCUAACCAUCUGCCAGCAUGGAAGGGGGGCCUUCUGUUUGAAGGAGGGAGAAUUAUAUGAUCAAAGGUUGUCCUCACUGCAACCUCAGUGUACCACAUGCUAUCCCUUGACCUCCCACCCUGGGUCAUCAAGAGUAUCGAGAAGAUAUGCAAAGAUUUCUUGUGGAAAGGAAUGGAGGAAGCGAAGGGUGGGGAUUGCAAAGUUGCAUGGGACAUGGUGUGUCGGCCCAUUGAAUUCUGA